rnacentral:rRNA from 1 species
CCUACGGGAGGCAGCAGUGAGGAAUAUUGGUCAAUGGGCGAGAGCCUGAACCAGCCAAGUAGCGUGCAGGAUGACGGCCCUAUGGGUUGUAAACUGCUUUUAUAAGGGAAUAAAGUGAGAGUCGUGACUCUUUUUGCAUGUACCUUAUGAAUAAGGACCGGCUAAUUCCGUGCCAGCAGC